AACGGUAUGUACUAGCAAUAGUACAUUAGUGGCGGACCCGGUGCAGUAAUACAUGAGUAACCUGCCUUAUACAGGGGGAUAACACCUAGAAAUGGGUGCUAAUACCGCAUAAUAACCUAGUAUGGCAUCAUGCUAGGAGGAAAGGAGAAAUCCGGUAAAAGAUGGACUCAUGUUCGAUUAGCUAGUUGGUGGGGUAAAGGCCUACCAAGGCAACGAUCGAUAGCCGAACUGAGAGGUUGAACGGCCACAUUGGAACUGAGAAACGGUCCAGACUCCUACGGGAGGCAGCAGUGGGGAAUAUUGCGCAAUGGGGGAAACCCUGACGCAGCAACGCCGUGUGAAGGAAGAAGGCUCUAGGGUUGUAAACUUCUUUGAUUAGGGACGAAAGAAAUGACGGUACCUAAAGAACAAGCCACGGCUAACUACGUGCCAGCAGCCGCGGUAAUACGUAGGUGGCAAGCGUUGUCCGGAAUAACUGGGUGUAAAGGGCGAGUAGGUGGGACAUUAAGUCAGAUGUGAAAUUUGGGGGCUCAACUCCUAAGCUGCAUCUGAGACUAAAGUUCUUGAGUGCUGGAGAGGGAAGCGGAAUUCCUAGUGUAGCGGUGAAAUGCGUAGAUAUUA
rnacentral:rRNA from 1 species